CACGUAGGGCGCAAGCGUUGUCCGGAAUUAUUGGGCGUAAAGAGCUCGUAGGCGGUCUGUUGCGUCCGCUGUGAAAACCCGGGGCUUAACCCUGGGCUGGCAGUGGAUACGGACAGACUAGAGGUAGGUAGGGGAGAAUGGAAUUCCCGGUGUAGCGGUGAAAUGCGCAGAUAUCGGGAGGAACACCAGUAGCGAAGGCGGCACUCUGGGCCGGUACUGACGCUGAGAAGCGAAAGCAUGGGGAGCGAACAGG
rnacentral:rRNA from 1 species